CCUACGGGAGGCAGCAGUGGGGAAUAUUGCGCAAUGGGCGAAAGCCUGACGCAGCGACGCCGCGUGAGGGAUGAAGGUCUUCGGAUCGUAAACCUCUGUCAGCAGGGAAGAACGGUCACUGUGCUAAUCAGCAGUGAAUUGACGGUACCUGCAAAGGAAGCACCGGCUAACUCCGUGCCAGCAGCCUCGGUAAUACGGAGGGUGCGAGCGUUAAUCGGAAUUACUGGGCGUAAGGCGCUCGUAGGCGGUAUGUCAAGUCAAGGGUGAAAUCCCCGCGCUCAACGUGGGAACUGCCUUUGAAACUGGCAGACUGGAGUGUGUGAGAGGAUAGUGGAAUUCCAGGUGUAGGAGUGAAAUCCGUAGAUAUCUGGAGGAACAUCAGUGGCGAAGGCGACUAUCUGGCACAUAACUGACGCUGAGGAGCGAAAGCGUGGGUAGCAAACAGGAUUAGAUACCCGGGUAGUC
rnacentral:rRNA from 1 species